CUCUUCAAAAAACACAUCAAAUCUCCAUUGAAAACUCCAAUUUCUUCCAAUUAGUAGCUCCAUCUCCAAUUCUUCUCAUUCCUGCGCCAAAACAUAGCAAACUAUGUAAUAUCACAUGAAACCACGAUGAAACGCACACUAAACUAGGUAGCUAAAACACACACAUCAAAAGCAUUGUGAAAACAAACUAAUUAAUCAAACUUGCAGCUAAGAUACAUUCAUUUGCUUUAAAUACACAGCUAAUCAAACGUUUUUUCGCAUGCUAUAGUUACCCAGAUUAUUAUAGUGAAGAAAAGCAAGUGUGGAAGCGAAAAAGUGCAAAAGAUAAUCCCAAUAUCGUUUAAAUUUCAUUUUUAUCAAGUUGAUAUAUGUAUAAGGAUUGGUAAGAGUAGUGUG
rnacentral:lncRNA from 1 species